rnacentral:rRNA from 1 species
CAGCAGCCGCGGUAAUACGGAGGGUGCAAGCGUUGUCCGGAAUCACUGGGUGUAAAGGGUGUGUAGGCGGGACUAUAAGUCAGAGGUGAAAUCCCACAGCUUAACUGUGGAACUGCCUUUGAUACUGUAGUUCUUGAAUAUCGGAGAGGUUGCUGGAAUUCGUGGUGUAGCGGUGAAAUGCGUAGAUAUCACGAGGAACACCAGAGGCGUAGGCGGGCAACUGGACGAUUAUUGACGCUGAGGCACGAAAGCGUGGGGAGCAAACAGGAUUAGAUACCCUGGUAGUCCACGCUGUAAACGAUGGAUGCUCGGUGUCGGCCCUCUUUUGGGCCGGUGCCUAAGCUAACGCGUUAAGCAUCCCACCUGGGGAGUACGCUCGCAAGAGUGAAACUCAMAGGAUUGACGGGA